GGAAGAGCCCAUUUUGCGUCCAGAGGACUCCAUUCCUAUCAGUGCCUCGCCACAACCUCUGGCAGGUUGGAGAAAUUUAGUGACUUUUUGCCGUGCCAUUAGAAUUCCAAAGAAGGUGGUUGAUGCGAAGGAGGAUGACACACCAUCCAAGCCUAGCGAUCGGGUAGGUUCGAAAGAGGACGUGACUCAUGCGACAUCUGUGACUGGCAUAAACCGAAAGAGGACAAACGACAGUGAUGCUGAAGAGCAGCCCCCAGGAAAGAGGACCAGGGACACUGUUGCUAAAGAGGAGCCCCCAGCCAAGAGGAGCAAGGACACUCUUGCUGAAAAGGAGCUCCCUGCCAAGAAGACCAGGGACAGUGUUACUGAAGUGAAACUCCCAGCCAAGAGGACCAGGAAUAGUGAUGAUGCUAAACAGGAGCCCUCUGCCAAGAGGGUCAGGGAGAAUCAAACUGAAGAUGUGCUCCCCUCCAAGAGGACCAGGGACAGUGUUGCUGAAGAGGAGCCCCCAGCCAAGAGGACUAGAGACACUGUUGCUGAAGAGGAGCUCCCAGCCAAGACGGCACAGUAGUAUAAUGAAGAUCCCAUUUGGGACGAGGUCCUUCAAAGUAUCGGCAGAAGGAUGGCAUGGAGAUAUGGUAAAGAAUGGGAGGACGAGCCCAUUCCAUCAACCCCUCUGUUCAUUCCAUACCGAAAGACAGACCAUGAAGAUCCUAUUCUGUUAUCCCCUGUCCUCAGUCCCUCACCAAGGACAGCGUGUGAGGAUACUGGUCUGUCAUCCCCUGUCCUCAGUCCCUUGUAUAGAAUGGCGCAUAAACUUCCUGUUUUGUUAUCCCCUAUCCUCAGUCCCUCACCAAGGACGUCGUGUGGGGAUCCUGGUCUGUCAUCCCCCGUCCUCAGUCCCUCGCAUAGAAUGCCACGUAAACGUCCUGUUUUGUCAUCCCCUGUCCUCAGUCCCUCACGAGGGACGAUGCAAGAGGAUCUUUUUCUCUCAUCCCGUGACGUCAGUCCCUCACCAUCGACGCACUGUGAAGAUCCCGUUUUGUCACCCCACGUUUUCAGUCCUUCACCAUCAACACACUGUGAAAAUCCAACUUUGUCAUCCCCUGACUUCCGUUUCUGGAUGGAGACUGAAAAGGACAUAGAAGAGGAACCGACACCUUCAACAUCUGGUGGAACUACAGCAAGAGUGAGUUCCAAACACGUGUGGUUUAGACCUCGCUACGUUUCAAGUGACUCUGAUUAGAUUGGGAUCCGUAAAAACUGAGGACCUAUGUGGGAAGUCACAUUAGGACAUAUCAUCAUUUCUCUGUUUUUUUUUUUUUUUGUUUUAUUAAAGCCAAUGGAUUUCUAGCAAGCCUGUGGAAGCCUUAGGUAGCGCGUUACACCGGGGCUUUUCUUUAUCCCGCUGCUAGAUGUAGCAUUUUAGAUGUUGAGGAUUCUGGCAGGACUCAGGAAGCCUUAGGUAGCACCUUGCACCGGAGUUUUCUUCGUCUUUGUGUCUUCCUCUCAUCUUCCCCAUGUUUCAGGGUGAAAUAGCGGUUCUUCCCCACGCGGUGCUCUCCGAUAUAGUAAAUUAUUCUAUUCUGUUCCUCCACUAAUCCACUCUCCAAGGUUUUAAUCUUUCAGGUUUUAGCUGCUCAUCGCUGGAUCCUUUCGUCGUCGUCCAUGUGGUUCCUGUCCUUCUGGACCCCUUGUUUUUCACACUGCUUGUUGGAUCUCCUCCGCCUGUAAUCCUCCACCUUCAGCACCACCAGUCAGGUGGAGGAAGAUAAGAGAACCCAGUUGACAAAAAAAAGUAAGAAAACUUAUUUUCAUUUUAAAUAUGGAUGAAAUUGAGCUCAAAUUUCAAAAUUGUUCUUCCUUCUGUCCACCUAUAUUCUAUUUGUUAACCCUGUUGUCUUUUCUCUGGAUUUCAUUUCUACAUCAACUCAUGUCACAUGACAUGAGUUGACCAACAAUUAAAGCAGAAGACCAGCGCCGCCUGUAAUCCUCCACCUUCAACACCACCAGUCAGGUGGAGGAAGAUAAGAGAACCCAGUUGACAUAAAAAAGUAAGAACAUUUCUAUCUACGCAACAUAACUAAUCAUUUCAAAUAUAGCUGCAGAGAGCUGAGCUGAAAGUUAGAAGCUGUCUGCUGUUCAUGCAUAUUUUCCUCCUUAACUUUAUCUUCUCUCUUUAUUUCAUUUCUCUGUGAACUCAUGUGAUGACUGGAGUUGACCAACAAUUAAAGCAGAAGACCUGCUCCACCUGCUGUUCUACUGGUUGGAAGAGAUUGUGGGAAAGCAUCACUGGACCAAUCAGGCGAGAGAAGACAGAGAGGACUGAGGACUAAAACGAAAAUACUCUGCCUGCCAAAAAAGGCAGACGAUCCAGUGGCCCCAGGUUUACACACCAUCUGCUGGUUUGAGGCAGACCGACCGCUGGGGAGAUGGACCUCACCUGACACCAUUACUCUGGAUGUAACAGGUAGCUCGACUCUCCUGUCCAUUAAAACAUCAGUGACUCGAGAAGUGGACAGCGAGGUUUCUGGUGCCUGGGUGGAGACGAGAUUCUGAUUAUUCAAGAGCCAAAACAAAACGUCAGAAUAAAUAGUUAGAAGGCAGAUUUGUUUUCUAUUUGUUGUUGUUUUCAUCAUUAAUGCUCCACAACACAAAAUUCAUCAGUGCUGUAACUCUUGAGUUGAAUAAAAUGUUCUUCUUUCAAUCUGUUA